UGGAACGGCCGGAGGUCACGCUUCUGGAAGCCAUGUCCGUGCGGACGCGUGGUGGACGGGCCUCGAAGGGGCAGCGACACCCGCAUCGCCGUGGGGUCACUAGGGCUGAGCGCUGAGGUCAGGGUCCCCCAGAGGCAAGGCCCUCGGGCCUCAGGUUGUUGCUUGGCCAACUGACCUGCGGACCGGGGGCCAGGCUCCCGGGGGAGGGCCGAGGCACGGUCCGGAUGAGGCGGGCUGGAGGUCCCCGGGGAUGCUGAGCCCGGCGCGGGUGGUGCAAGUGUGUGCAGACCCCUCAUGAUCUGAAGGAGUGAGGCCAAGCGCCGGCAGCCUCUUGUACGCAUGAGCAGCGUGGCCAGAUGUUUGAGGAGCUGAGAACUGUGGGACCCAGGAGGGAUCGGCGCGACCUCGGACUGCAGCCAUGUUGGUGCCUGGUCACCCGAGCCAGCGGUUACCCCUCCAG